rnacentral:lncRNA from 1 species
AUGGGCUACGCAAUCCCAAGUUCACACCAUCCUGCAAAAACAGGUGCUUGGUCUGAGCCACAGUUUCCACCCUGCCUCAGAUGUCCCGAGUCUCUGUGGAAAAACAUAGCGCACACACAAAUGUUUAAUCUUAAUUAUGUCAAACAGCUGAGGAAGAUACAAAGCAGCUUCUCAUCCCAGUAUAAAACUCAUAUGCUUCUUUCUUUAUUUUUUUUUUCAGAAAUUGGAUGGAAGAGACCAUAUUACUUGAGAGAGCUGCAGCUAUGCGGAUCUCAACUCUUUGGUCAACAUAAUAUACAGUUGCUAUCUUCUAAAAAAGAAUUGAGAAGAAAUGUGUAUAAUUAUACACAGAAUAUUAAUCUUCUUCCUGGUGAUCUACAACUCUAGCAUAUUCAUCAUACUGGAACUGUGCUCAAAAGUAUUUUCAUCUGAUUAAAAUUGCUGAUUCAUCGAUGCAUGUAAUCCUUUGCUAAUAGUAUGUAUAUAAAUGGAUCUUAACAAUUUGCACACCAGUUUCCUCCUCUGUCAUUGUUAUUUGCUUUUUUUUAAAAAAACACUGGAUGCAACACUGAACUUUUAUGUUUUGAUAGGAAAAGAGGGAAGGGCUACAAGUUGCGCCAGGGGAGGUUUGAGUUGGAUAAUAGGAAAAUCUCUGAAAGUGUGGUGAGAUACUGGAACAGGCUGCCCAGAGAGGUGGUGGAGUCACUGUCCAUGGGGGUGUUCAAGAACCGUGUAGAUGCGGCACUAAGGAAAUAGGUUAGUGGGUGCUGAGUUAGAAGGGUGGUGAUGGGUUGACAUUUGGACUAGAUUAUCUUAGAGGUCUUUUCCAACCAUAAUGAUUCUAUGAUCUAUGAUUUUAUGAUUUAGACUUUUGGAGAACUAAGGCGCAGUGGUCUGGGAUAGAUGUAGAAAACCUACUGUCUGACUGUAGCUGUGGCACCAGCUUCACUCUGUGACUUUGGAUAAGCCUCUAGUCAUGCCAAUAGCUAGGAUUCAGUUUUAAAUAUCCUCAAUUCUGUACCCACAUUUUUAGGACUUGUGAAUACAUAAACAUGAUAAAUAGCCAUACAAUUCAGUAUUGGAAAAUGUCAAAGUUCACAGUGCAAAACUCACUGACAACAGUACUUUGCAAUCUUUCUCUCCACCAACUCAGAAAUUCACAUUGGAAGAUACAGUCUCACCAGGAAUGCAUCAGUUUGCCACUCCUUACUUCCAACUCUUCUGUACAUCCUCCUAUUUAGAAAAUGGAAGGUACUUUAGAAAAAUACUAAAGGAUUCACAGCAGCAUUGUACAAGGAAACUUGAG